rnacentral:rRNA from 1 species
UACGUAGGCAGCAAGCGUUGUUCGGAAUUACUGGGCGUAAAGAGUGUGUAGGCGGUGCUCUAAGUUCGGUGUGAAAUCUCCCGGCUUAACUGGGAGGGUGCGCAGGAAACUGGAGUGCUCGAGCGUGGGAGAGGAAAGCGGAAUUCCUGGUGUAGCGGUGAAAUGCGUAGAUAUCAGGAGGAACACCGGUGGUGUAGACGGCUUUCUGGACCGUAACUGACGCUGAGACACGAAAGCGUGGGUAGCAAACAGGG